CAGUAGCCACGGUAAUACGAAGGGUGCAAGCGUUAAUCGGAAUUACUGGGCGUAAAGCGUGCGUAGGCGGUGAGUUAAGUCUGCUGUGAAAUCCCCGGGCUCAACCUGGGAACUGCAUUUGUGACUGUAUAGCUAGAGUACGGCAGAGGGGGAUGGAAUUCCGCGUGUAGCAGUGAAAUGCGUAGAUAUGCGGAGGAACACCGAUGGCGAAGGCAAUCACCUGGGCCUGUACUGACGCUCAUGCACGAAAGCGUGGGGAGCAAACAGGAUUAGAUACCCCCGUAGUCCCUGUCUCUUAUAC
rnacentral:rRNA from 1 species